rnacentral:rRNA from 1 species
CGCAGCCGCGGUAAUUCCAGCUCCAAUAGCGUAUAUUAAAGUUGCUGCAGUUAAAAAGCUCGUAGUUGAAUUUCGGGACCAUCAUGUCGGUCGUGCCUCGGUACGUACUGGCAUUGUUGGUUUCUACCUUCUGACGAACCAUGAUGUCAUUUAUUUGGUGUCGUGGGGAAUCAGGACUGUUACUUUGAAAAAUUAGAGUGUUUAAAGCAGGCUCACGCUCGAAUACAUUAGCAUGGAAUAAUGAAAUAGGACGUUUGAUUCUAUUUUGUUGGUUUCUAGGAUCGACGUAAUGAUUAAUAGGGAUAGUUGGGGGCAUUAGUAUUCAAUUGUCAGAGGUGAAAUUCUUGGAUUUAUUGAAGACUAACUACUGCGAAAGCAUUUGCCAAGGAUGUUUUCAUUAAUCAAGAACGAAAGUUAGGGGAUCGAAGACGAUCAGAUACCGUCGUAGUCUUAACCAUAAACUAUGCCGACUAGGGAUCGGAUGAUGUUAAUUUUUUAAUGACUCAUUCGGCGCCUUACG